rnacentral:miRNA from 10 species
UGAGGCAGGAGAAUUGCUUGAACCCAGGAUGUGGAGGUUGCAGUGAGCCGAGAUCAUGCCACUGCAUUCCAGCCUGGGUGACACAGCGAGACUC